rnacentral:rRNA from 1 species
CGUUAAUCGGAAUUACUGGGCGUAAAGCGCACGCAGGCGGUUUGUUAAGUCAGAUGUGAAAUCCCCGCGCUUAACGUGGGAACUGCAUUUGAAACUGGCAAGCUAGAGUCUUGUAGAGGGGGGUAGAAUUCCAGGUGUAGCGGUGAAAUGCGUAGAGAUCUGGAGGAAUACCGGUGGCGAAGGCGGCCCCCUGGACAAAGACUGACGCUCAGGUGCGAAAGCGUGGGGAGCAAACAGGAUUAGAUACCCUGGUAGUCCACGCUGUAAACGAUGUCGACUUGGAGGUUGUGCCCUUGAGGCGUGGCUUCCGGAGCUAACGCGUUAAGUCGACCGCCUGGGGAGUACGGCCGCAAGGUUAAAACUCAAAUGAAUUGACGGGGGCCCGCACAAGCGGUGGAGCAUGUGGUUUAAUUCGAUGCAACGCGAAGAACCUUACCUACUCUUGACAUCCACGGAAUUCGCCAGAGAUGGCUUAGUGCCUUCGGGAACCGUGAGACAGGUGCUGCAUGGCUGUCGUCAGCUCGUGUUGUGAAAUGUUGGGUUAAGUCCCGCAACGAGCGCAACCCUUAUCCUUUGUUGCCAGCACGUAAUGGUGGGAACUCAAAGGAGACUGCCGGUGAUAAACCGGAGGAAGGUGGGGAUGACGUCAAGUCAUCAUGGCCCUUACGAGUAGGGCUACACACGUGCUACAAUGGCAUAUACAAAGAGAAGCGAACUCGCGAGAGCAAGCGGACCUCAUAAAGUAUGUCGUAGUCCGGAUUGGAGUCUGCAACUCGACUCCAUGAAGUCGGAAUCGCUGGUAAUCGUAGAUCAGAAUGCUACGGUGAAUACGUUCCCGGGCCUUGUACACACCGCCCGUCACACCAUGGGAGUGGGUUGCAAAAGAAGUAGGUAGUUUAACCUUCGGGAGGGCCCUUACCA